UACGUAGGGUGCGAGCGUUAAUCGGAAUUACUGGGCGUAAAGCGUGCGCAGGCGGUUUUGUAAGCCAGAUGUGAAAUCCCCGGGCUUAACCUGGGAAUGGCAUUUGGGACUGCAAGGCUGGAGUGUGGCAGAGGAGACUGGAAUUCCUGGUGUAGCAGUGAAAUGCGUAGAUAUCUGGAGGAAUACCGGUGGCGAAGGCGGCAUCCUGGACCGACAUUGACGCUGAGGAGCGAAAGCUAGGGGAGCAAACGGG
rnacentral:rRNA from 1 species